GGGAUCCGAUUUUAGCAUGGAAUAAUAAAAUAGGACUUCGGUUCUAUUUUGUUGGUUUCUAGAACUGAAGUAAUGAUUGAUAGGGAUAGUUGGGGGUGCUAGUAUUCAGUGGCCAGAGGUGAAAUUCUUGGAUUCACUGAAGACUAACUACUGCGAAAGCAUUCACCAAGGAUGUCUUCUUUAAUCAAGAACGAAAGUUGGGGGAUCGAAGACGAUCAGAUACCGUCGUAGUCUCAACCAUAAACUAUGCCGACUAGGGAUCGGGCGAUGUUCUCUUUAUGACUCGCUCGGAACCUUACGAGAAAUCAAAGUCCUUGGGUUCUGGGGGGAGUAUGGUCGCAAGGCUGAAACUUAAAGGAAUUGACGGAAGGGCACCACCAGGAGUGGAGCCUGCGGCUUAAUUCGACUCAACACGGGGAAACUCACCAGGUCCAGAAAUCUAGA
rnacentral:rRNA from 1 species